rnacentral:rRNA from 1 species
UUUAAUUCGAAGCAACGCGCAGAACCUUACCAGCGUUUGACAUGUCCGGACGAUUUCCAGAGAUGGAUUUCUUCCCUUCGGGGACUGGAACACAGGUGCUGCAUGGCUGUCGUCAGCUCGUGUCGUGAGAUGUUGGGUUAAGUCCCGCAACGAGCGCAACCCUCGCCUUUAGUUACCAUCAUUUAGUUGGGUACUCUAAAGGAACCGCCGGUGAUAAGCCGGAGGAAGGUGGGGAUGACGUCAAGUCCUCAUGGCCCUUACGCGCUGGGCUACACACGUGCUACAAUGGCAACUACAGUGGGCAGCAAUCCCGCGAGGGUGAGCUAAUCUCCAAAAGUUGUCUCAGUUCGGAUUGUUCUCUGCAACUCGAGAGCAUGAAGGCGGAAUCGCUAGUAAUCGCGGAUCAGCAUGCCGCGGUGAAUACGUUCCCAGGCCUUGUACACACCGCCCGUCACACCAUGGGAGUUGGGUUCACCCGAAGGCGUUGCGCUAACUCGCAAGAGAGGCAGGCGACCACGGUGGGCUUAGCGACUGGGGUGAAGUCGUAACAAGGUAACCGUAAAGGG